CGGAGGAUCCAAGCGUUAUCCGGAAUCAUUGGGUUUAAAGGGUCCGUAGGCGGUUUUGUAAGUCAGUGGUGAAAGCCCAUCGCUCAACGGUGGAACGGCCAUUGAUACUGCAAGACUUGAAUUAUUAGGAAGUAACUAGAAUAUGUAGUGUAGCGGUGAAAUGCUUAGAUAUUACAUGGAAUACCAAUUGCGAAGGCAGGUUACUACUAAUGGGUUGACGCUGAUGGACGAAAGCGUGGGGAGCGAACAGGAUUAGAUACCCUGGUAGUCCACGCCGUAAACGAUGGAUACUAGCUGUUCGGAGCAAUCUGAGUGGCUAAGCGAAAGUGAUAAGUAUCCCACCUGGGGAGUACGUUCGCAAGAAUG
rnacentral:rRNA from 1 species